rnacentral:tRNA from 1 species
GUCCCUGUAGUGCAAUGGACACCUAAUCCAAAGGUCGUGGGUUUGAAUCCCACCUGGGAUG